GUGUGUGUGUGUGUGUGUGUGUGUGUGUGUGUGUGUUACAAUUUUUCUCUCUUUGAGUUGCUUCUCCUCCCCUUGAAAAUGUUUCUGCAACCAAGUGAUCUGAGUUUCGUGAUGCCAAUGGGUAAAUAACACAGGGUCUCUCAGCAAACCAGAAAUGAAGCUGGUCUCUCUCCAGCUAUACCAUUUUAGUGCAUUCCAGGGGAGUGAGAGAGGAAGAAGAUGAAUAUGUCACAGCAGCUGGUCCAGAGCCUCCCCGCUGCACUGCUCUCCUGACUUAUGGGUAACUAGUUAGCAAAGGUGUCACUUGGCAAAACAAAGUAUGAUCGGGCUAAGAUUUGCAAGUAAAAUCACUUGUUCCUUCCAAAAAUAACUGGAUAUGUUUUCUCCAACACUCUGCAAAAAAGGAAGAAAUAGGGCCUCCCCAAUUUCUCAGCUGGCCCGUGCGUCUCCUCAUCUAUCAUUGGGGUAAUACGUCCAGAGUGGCAUUUCGUAAUGACAGCAACAUUCCAGCAAAUCGAUAGUUAUUCAAUUCCCAACAAGCUCUCAAGUCCAUUAAGCCUGAUUACAUUCACCCAUUUCAGUGCGUGCCGUUAUUUUUCCUACACCGGCACUUAAUCUAUAACAGGAACUUAUGAGAACUUUCAAAAGCAAUUUCAGCAUCAAUCGGCAUAGAGUGAAGGGCACGAUCUGCUUGUAAUUAUUUAUCGGACGGGCGGCAGAGGGUCUGACAAAACUCCAACAGCCGACCUUCACCCCAAGUUUCCAAUGGAAGCAAAAGGCCUUCCAGUUUGCCACGGAGUCCUCCUUCAGACUCCACGCACACCCCACUGGCCUGCUUACACCAGGAAAGAUGGAACGAUUUCCAUGUUGUUACGGACCAUUCUCCAGGCAGUGUGUAUAUGUCUCACGUAUAAUAUAGGGGUUUCCAAGCUAAGCAAUGGCCAUACGUCUAGGACGAUAGAACGUGUUGUUAUUAUUGCGAAUCGCCCCUACAUGUCUCGAAUCACCCAAGUUCUUAAGGUUCACAAGCACCAUUUGGAAAAGGGGGGAAACUGAGUUUGACCAGAGCCCUCCCCAGAAAUUUUAAUUAAGAAGGUAGGGUACUGCGCGAUUUUCAAAUAUAGUUGCGGAGGGGGCACAAGGAUAAGGGUGAAAGGGUGCACUAAACACAAAAUACAUUUAGUUUUCCUUUCCCGCAGAAACAAGAGACAGAAUUAACUACAAAGCGAUGGCUGUUCUCAAACAAACAAGAAAACAACAGCAAAGCAACCAUCUGGGUUUCCCAGGAUGUUCAGGCUCUGUGACUAAUUAAAGUGGUUCCUCUGCCUAGAUGAGAUUGGAUACCGCAUCUCCUUCCCACAUCCAAGAGCUAACAUGAGGAUUACUCUGCUCACCACCAGCCCUUGUGAGGGGCAGCGGCCUAAAGUUUAAACACCGAUGCAGGAGAAGGAAAAAGAAAAGAAACACAAGUUUUGGAUGGAGGUUGGGAGACAAGAGCAUUCAGAGAAAACCAAUGCCUGCCAUAUGGAUUCUGUUGGUUACAUGAGCCAAGUGUAACCUCAUGGACCAAAUCCAGUCUGAGUAGAAGGACGAGGGGGAGGAGGGGGAGGAGAAUGUUGAUGACGGUGAUGGCUUCUCUGCAUUGUGCAAAAGAGAGAUGAUAUAUUUUUUUUAUUAAAAAAUUUUUUUUACACUUUA